rnacentral:lncRNA from 1 species
CGCUGCACGAUUAGAGCCAUUGUAGCAACUCAACCUACAAGCGGCGAAGGAUUUCGAUUUCGAGUGGUAAAAUGGUUGGCUACCCGAGCAACGUAACCCUAAUACUCCUCUGGUAGUUGCAGUAUAUCCAAAUCCCUCCUCCAAUUCGAAUUCGAUUCCCCACCCCCACCCCACGCUCCCUCCCCUCGAAUCUAGGGUUUCGCCGGAGCCAUGGACCCCGGCGGCGGGGCCGGGGG